AUGAAUAGUCUAAUGAUUUAUAGUUGUUGUACUCUAUUGUUAUAAUAUGUCUUUUUGACUGAAUACAUGUUUGUUUUAUUUGUCUAUAUCCUAGAUUCGCAGCUGGACACAUCCUUCUACACUGUAUGCAAACAUGCAACAUCAUUACACACAGUACAAGGAGUCAGACUGGCAUAUGAGGAGCAAAGGAACCCAGGCAGUAGCAUCGUUUCACAAUGUUUCCAUCACCAUCAUCAGUGGAUGCCUUUGCCGUCCGUAGCCUGAGAUUUCAGAUUUGCAGCAAAAAAAAAAAUUGAUUUUCUCAUUUAUUGGAAUGCUGUGCAGGUUGUACCUUGCAGCCAUCCAUUACAAUGUCACCAAGCCAUAACAAAACCAGGAGAGGGAAAGUACAAGGCUAUGUUCCCAAAACACACAAGUGACAUACCUUAUGUGGAUGAUGUGAUCAGGCUUGUGUUUGAUGAGGUAUUUGAAGAUAAGCUGAAGGAAACCCCGAUUCCAAUGGACCUGGCAUCACAGUUUGAGAGACCUUCAAAGGAGGACGUGAUUGCAUGCCAUCUUCAGGGCAGGGGUCGUCGAAAGCCAAAAUUGUGACCGAUCUGAUCAGGAAGCUCCAAGCAUAUCUGGAGAACAACACACGACAGGAUGAUAAUCCUAUAGUGUCGUCUUAAAUAGCACCAGCUGACAAAGCUUUGAU